UGCAAAUCGUCAAUCGUAGAA
rnacentral:piRNA from 1 species